rnacentral:snRNA from 1 species
GUGCUCGCUUUGGCAGCACAUAUACUAAAAUUGGAACGAUACAGAGAAGAUUAGCAUGGCCCCUGUGCAAGGAUGACACACAAAUUUGUGAAGCGUUCCAUAUUAAA